rnacentral:sRNA from 1 species
UACCCAUACCACCUGCAUGGAGCUCCUUCCUGUUAGCUUUCUUACCUGUGUCCUCUAGCACCUCCCUGAGACCCCGAGCACAAUCGGGGUCAAGCUCCACAUUCUGUCUAAGGUUCCAUGACCUGCCCCACCCCUCCUUCUGUGGGGAGAUGUCAACAGUCCAAGGGCCCCACUGUGAUACUCUUACGAAGGGUGGCAGCUGCUCAGAGGAAUAGGCAUCCCACGGACCCUCCUCACCAGCACUCGGCUUCCGGCACUGCGCUAUUCUCUGGAAAGAUAACUACCCAUAGUCCUCUGGUGCGUCCUGAACACUCAGUUGGAGGAAGAUUCUGCCUGAGGAGGCAGUGCGAAGAGCCUGGGGUCUGAUGCCCCAGUGGGCGCGCCACGAAGCUUCACCCCAUCACAAGCUCAGAACAUCUUGAGCAAGUUGCCUCAGUUUCCCAUCUGGAGGGUGGGUCAGCAGCCUGAAGCUUAAGUCGCAAUGACCGUCAGCCAGUGAAGGUUUGCCAGGAGCCUCCUGACUGCUUCCCACACGGGCUUGAAAUGGAUGCUAAGGACGACAGACACCAUGCUCAGCCCCAAAUGGGACAUCUGCAUCACCCAGGAGUCACUGAACAAGAGAAGAUGAGAGGCCCAAGCGUCGAGGAACUCAGGCCAAUCCCCAGUGUAGAAAGCUGCACAGUCACGUUCAAAUGCCACUCCACCUGACUGGGAACCUGUUUCCUUCCCACCAUACCUGUCAAACAAGUGGACUCACUCGGAGCUCCAGUGCUGAGAGCAGGUGGGGCCCCCUCAAGGGAGCUUCUGCUGGCUCUGGCCACAGCCCACUGGAUGGACAGAUGGGUGAAUGGGCAGACAGAUGGACAUACGGACGGACAGAGGCCAGCUGCUUCACUCUGCUCUAAUCACCAGGCCCCUCGGCGGACUCGGUAAAUGCCCCGCUGCUGCUGAGCCGAAGGCUUUCAGGGCCUGCCUGUCACCGUGUUUUACAGCCCUCUUGUUGAAGAGCGGAAUCUGUAUUGAUUUCAGAACAACUCAAGCUGUAAAUUACUGGCCGCGAUCGGCUUGGUAACCCUGAGAUGAGAAUCUAUUGACUGGACCGGGGGCUUAAAUCUAAUUAUCGUCCCAGGAAAACCAUUGGCAGAGCUGCUCAAUGCCUGUGCGGAAGAGAACAGUUAAACAGCCCAGGGCUACGUGGGGGGUGGGGGUGGGGCAGAGAUCUAGAACGAUCCGGGGUCUCUGCGGAGCCUAAGAAACUGCCUUGGCCACCAAUCGAUUGACCUUGAGUCACUUCUGUAAUUACCAACGGCGAUGUUACUACGAUAGCGUGGUGCCCCAUGGCUCUGGGGCCUGGGCACCUCAUGCAGCCUGUUGUUCAGCUUCCUCAAACCAGUUUCUUCAUCUCUACAUAGAGGGAGCCUUGGUGCAUUUCUACCUGUACCUCAGGAAGGAGAGAAAACCGCCAGCCAUGGGAGCGGCUUCGCCCAAGGGCACACAGCUACCUCGGAAUGCAGACCUUAAACCGGUCCCUCACUGCUGGGUGGCUCAAUGGUUAGGGGUGCCUGCCUGCGUGCGGUUACCGGCACCCUGUGCGGUGGCUCACAGUCACCUGGACGUGAGGCGGCGUGCUGGCCUUGACAAGAACGUCAUCCAUGGGCUUCUAUAUCUGAACGCUGGGUAGCUCAGACUGGAGCUGUUUGAAAGGGUUAGAAGGGUUCGGGGGUGUUGCUGGUUGGAGGGAGUCUGUCACUGGGGUUAGGCUUUGAGGUUUUGAAGGGUGAAUGCCAAUCACAGGGUGUCUCUCUCUGACUACAGGUCAGGACGUAGCUCCCAGCCACUGCUCCGUUGCACCAUGGGCCCUGACAUGAUAGUAGCAGACUAAGCGUCCGAAACUGUAACACACACAUGUACACA